GACGAGGGGUCCUAGCGUUGUUCGGAAUCACUGGGCGUAAAGCGUAUGUAGGCGGCUUUUCAAGUCAGGUGUGAAAUCCCAUGGCUUAACCAUGGAACUGCAUUUGAAACUGUAAAGCUUGAGUAUUGGAGAGGAUGGUAGAAUUCCUGGUGUAGUGGUGAAAUACGUAGAUAUCAGGAGGAAUACCGGUGGCGAAGGCGGCCAUCUGGCCAAAUACCGACGCUGAGAUACGAAAGUGUGGGGAUCAAACAGG
rnacentral:rRNA from 1 species